CGAAAGGCCUAUCGUCUCCACAAUUUCAAAGACAUUCUGUAAUAUCGGCUUGCACUUAGUUCUCCUGCAACAAGGUAUCAAGGUUUAAGGUGGACUUUAAGUGGGUCUCUGACUUGAAUGACUUCAUCGACUCUUCAAUCAUUUCUUUAUUUUAUUUUCCCACCACUCAGUGUAACCGAAUCGACCAGAGGUCUACUGGGUAACGAUGCAGAUGCAGAGAACCUGGCAUAUCAGACGCUAUAGAAACUGGAAAAUAAAUAGAUUUUAUCCUGCUGUGGACAGUGUACUUGUAACCGUUGUAACUUAGCAUUUCUUUGCCGGUGGUGUUUCUUACUAAUAAAGGAUUUUUGUCUCUUGUAUCCGA